GAUGAAGAACGCAGCGAAAUGCGAUAAGUAAUGUGAAUUGCAGAAUUCAGUGAAUCAUCGAAUCUUUGUACGCACAUUGCGCCCCUUGGUAUUCCGAGGGGCAUGCCUGUUCGAGCGUCAUUAUAACCCCUCAAGCUCAGCUUGGUGUUGGGGCCUGCUGCACUGGCAGCCCUUAAAAUCAGUGGCGGCGCCAUCUGGCUCUAAGCGUAGUAAUUCUUCUCGCUAUGGAGUCCUGGUGGAUGCUUGCCAUCAACCCCCAAUUUUUCUAUGGUUGACCUCGGAUCAGGUAGGGAUACCCGCUGAACUUAAGCAUAUCAAUAAGCGGAGGA
rnacentral:misc_RNA from 1 species